UACAUGGGGUGCAAACGUUGCUCGGAAUUAUUGGGCGUAAAGCGCGCGUAGGCGGUUACUUAAGUCGGAUGUGAAAGCCCUCGGCUUAACUGAGGAAGUGCACCCGAAACUGAGUAGCUAGAGUACGAAAGAGGGUCGCGGAAUUCCCGGUGUAGCGGUGAAAUGCGCAGAUAUCGGGAGGAACACCGGUGGCGAAGGCGGUUCUCUGGGCCUUACCUGACGCUGAGGAGCGAAAGCGUGGGGAGCGAACAGG
rnacentral:rRNA from 1 species